AUGUUAACAACAUCAGCACAUAUACUAAAAUUAGAUAAACACAGAGAAGAUUAGCAUCACUCCUGUGCAAGGAUGAUGUGCAAAUUCAUGAAGGGUUCCAUAUUUUU